ensembl:misc_RNA predicted gene, 27337
GAGAUAGAUGUGCGUGGCCAACUCGCUGGUCUUGUUAACAAGCUUCGUCAUAAAGAUGGAGAUGAUAAG